AAGGCCGGGAGCAUGUGGCCAUGUCUGGGCAGAAUCCACCGGUCAUGCAAAGAGGACGAUACACUGUAGCACUCAGCAGAAGAGGAAAAAUGGGAACAGAAAGAUAUGAACGAAGAUAUAUAUGUAUAUUAUAUAUAGCUCCAUUUUGAUUUGGACUGAGAUGCUGGGUGACAUCUCUCUGUUUUAUGAGGCAGCAAAUGGAAGAUUUUACACCUCUGCCACUGGAAAUGGUGCUGUUAAAGGAAAUGGAGGUAUGAGAGGGUUACUGGGUUUUCACCUGAGGUGUCAUAGUGCCUCUUUGAUCUACUGUAAAUCAAGCUCCUACAUCAAGGAGUAAAAAAGGGGCAGUUUGUGCAUAUUGGACUUGCGACAUGGCAGAAUGAGGAACCAUCUGGUCUAUUUAAAUGUGAGAAAGAUGUUCGAGUGAUAGAUGUGCUAGUCCUCUUCUGCUUGGCUGGCUUUCCUCCUUAUACUUCCUUGUCUACAGAUACGUGUCAACACAAAGAAUGAUUAUGGAAAGGAUAUCUACAUACAGGUAAGCAACAAGAAUGAUUUGCUCAACAUUGUCAACAUAAGCUCCGUUCUCUCUUCCUGAAGCAGCACGCCUUGCUGUGGCUGGUCAAAUGGAACCAAGUCAGGUGUUUCUGCGAGGUUUGGUCCCCUUCAACCAGCUACUGCGUCGUGAAUACAGCCAACCAAAGAUUAUAAGAGAGUUAUUCAGUAAAGUGUGCUUUUUUUUUUUUGUAACUUUAAUUGUACUAACCUUUUUUUUAAAAAAAUAAAAUAAAAUUCAAUAAAAUAUUUUACUCUUGCAAUGUUGUGUUCAUUUUCUCCUUUCUUAAUAGAAAUUAUCUUUUUCAUUCAAUAAUGAAUAUUCAAUAAUAUUGAAUGUCGACUUGUAUUGACUGUUUCUUAACACAUUUAGGUUUAAAAGUGCACUUCGUAAUAAUGUCAAAUUAAAGUUUUUCUUUAAAGUAGUCCUACAUUUUAAAUCUUUAUGUUUUAAUAAUCUUUUGUUAAUGUUUUAAAUCAUUGUUUUAAUAAUCUGAUACGCUUUCAGUAAGCGUACAAUAUGUUAUGGACUUCUCUAGGUUAUUGAUUUUUUGCUUAUUCUUUAUCUUGAGGGUGGUGGAUAAUAGCAGGCAGCCACUAUGACAACACGUUCACUUUAAAUGUAUUAUUGUACAGAUGCCCAUUUGCUCGCAAUUUGCUCGCCUUUUCUCAGGGGAACACAAAUGACAGGACGUACUACGCACUAUAAC